GGCCCCAUCCCCUCCCCGCAAUAUCGUCGAUUUGUGCAUCACGCAUCACAAACAAGUACCGCAAGCAUCCACCAAUCAUUCACUCGUUCUUCCGCCCGCCUGUCUCCUCAGCUGCUGCUUUUUUGCUUCGCAAGACGUCUUACACUUCUGCGCGGUACUCUAUCAUUUGCUCUCCAAAGACCAUAAAAAAAGCGCACGAGUGCUCUUGGCGGCACGCCUCCUCUCUAAGCUCUCCACGCCUCAUCCUCAACACCACCUCGAACUGCAAUCAUCGAAGAGCACACAAUUACGACACACUCGUUAGUACGCUCGCUUUUCCUUUCUUUUUUUUUUUCGUUUUUUUUUUGCGUCUGCAUGUGUUCCAUUGCGUUGAUGCGUAACUGUCGCUGUGGGUACUUGUAAAUUUUCUUCUCGUCGCUGGCAGGACCUGAUUUCCUCUUGCUUUAUUUUUGUUUUCUGGCUCACCUCCCUUCCAUCCCUCACCGUCACGCUGGCGCCGUCGUCAUCACCAUCGAUCCUCACCGCACACGUUCGUACACGCAUGCCCUCUCUAAAACGCAAGACCGUCUUCUUUAUUGCUGUUGCUUUCCGUGCUCGAUUGAAGGUUCAACUCAGUUCCCACAAAAUCGCUGGCGUUCUUCACCGGUAUCGCAGUGUCUCUUCUUUUUUUUGUUUGUUUUGGGGGCUUCCUUGUUUCGCCGCCCCCUGCCCCCCUCCCUCCUCUCAUAGAUAUUAUAAUAACUGCACUCCGGCAGUUGCGCCAGGUUUCGGGCGGGGCGCAAGGCGCGUCAUUCUUCUUCUUUUGUCCCUCCGCUUCCCUUCUCUUUUGCUUGCAGGUCGAACAUGGGCGACACACUAACCAGCUACGAGGCGCGUGUGCGGUGCCGCGACAUCGCGCAGAACAAGGCGGCAGCCAUCACCACAAAGAGCGUGGGGGAGGCAGCGAACAAGCUGCUGGGGACGGCACAGCGUCACCUGAGCUUCAGCCCGUGCCCACCCACGGCCACGCGGUGCCGUGAUCUCCCCUUGUAUGACCUGAGUUCGAUUCCCGAGUGGCUGAAGGGUAACCCGUUCAUUCUCAGAUACUACCGAGCCGGCUACACCACAAAGCAGUGCUUCAAGAGCGUCUUUGCCCUCCACAACGAGACCCUCAGUAUUUGGACGCACCUGGUGGGUCUCCUCAUUGUGCUGGUGCUCUCACUCCACAUCCUACUCAACCUUGGUCUGCACCGCACGCAGGACUACCUUGUCUUUUCGGUGUUUCAGCUAGGCAGCAUGGUCAUGCUCGGCGGAUCCUCUGUUUACCACACGUUCAGCGCCCAUCACUCUGAGCAGGUGCACAACAUUGCCCUUGCGAUCGACUACUUCGGCAUCACCUCCAUGAUCGUCGGCAGCUUCUACCCGCCCGUCUUCUACCUCUUCUCGUGCUUGACGGUGGUGCGGGCGGUGUACCUCAUCUCAAUCACGCUGCUGGGUAUUCUCGGCUUGAUGGGGCCCUUCUUCACGUUUUUCAACACUCAGACGUUCUACUGGCCGCGCAUGAUUCUGUACUCCUCCCUGACCUCCAUCGGCAUUCUCCCCACCAUUCACAUGUUCUUUGGGUUGCCCGCCAACGAGCAGACCUUGCCGCUGUACAAGGGCAUGUUUCUCAUGCUGGCCACGUAUUGCGUGGGUAUUGUGAUCUACAUCUUCAAAGUCCCUGAGCGAUGGUACCCGGGUCGGUUUGAUGUGUGGCUGCACAGCCACCAGCUGUGGCAUUUCUUUGUGCUGUGCGCUGCAGUGGUGCACUAUUUCACCUGCAUCGGCGCCUUUCAGAUGUGGCACGUAACGCGCGGAGUGGGCGGCGAGUGCGCGUAAAGCAGAGCUCACAAACGCACACACACGGCGCAGGUGCCUCCGUGACUGCAAGAAGCAGGUGUACAAGGAGCCUUGAGGGGGUAGGUUCCCUUCAUGCACUUGCUGCGCUUUCUUCUUGAGUGAGUGUGCGCAAGAGUCCGUAGCAAUGCAUCCCUUCACACAUUGUCUUCCCGGUUGCUGUAUAUGAAUCGGCGGAGGAGGAUGCCCAGCUGCACACCCAUAUGCACUUGAGCAAGCAUACACAAGCACACAGUCGUGAAGCGAGGAAAGUGGUGUGCUCUGUGAUAGGAACAGGAGCCCCUCCUCUCGUUCUCUUUCGCUCAUUUCGACUUGUUUGUCUCUCUUGUUUUUUUUUCGUUGCUCCAUGCUCGCUCUUUAAUGCUGGGGGCUGGGGAGGACGCGCCCCUUAGUGCGUGGUGGCAUAUCACACACGCUCCGGUGCCCCUCCCCUCCCCCACCUCUCGGUUUGGAGAAGCCGGGUAGCCACCUCGAGGGGGAUGCACCCCGUCGCGACCUGGCAUGAUGGGAGGAGCGGCCGCGGGGAGGGAGGGAGGUGGGUGGGGUUUGAGGCAGGGGUUCCCGCCCCGAUGACCGAAUGGGCGCAUCACUCUAACACGUGUGUCUCUCAGGCUGCUUGGCGCCGCGCGGCUGGAGCCGGUGGCAGGGUCGGUGGCGGCGGAGGGUUGAGGGGAGCUGGACUCGUGGACAGUGGCAGCGACCGGACACCUGGAGCAAAGAAGGAGAAACGAGUGUUUCUUGCUGUUUUGCUAUUGACGGCUUUUGCUGUUCUCGCUCUCUUUAUUUGUUUUUCUUCUUUGCUGCUGAAAACUCAUCUGAAGUGGCCUAAUUCGUCUCUUUCUCUCCCUCUCGGUGUGAUUAUCGCUGCUCCUUUUGCUUCUGUUUAGUCGGGUAUGAGUCACGCGAAGAAUGACAAAAAAAAAAGAAAGGUGAAAAUUCACGAAACGAGCGAAGAUACACGCACACACAAACUCACGCACAAGAAAAAAAAACAACGGAAAAAAACGAGGGGCACGACACUUGCAAGCUUUUUUCUUUUAUUGGUUUGUGGCCGACCAUCCUCGACUGCGUCACUCACACGCCCUCUCUCCCCCGCGCUCUGCUUCGCUCCUGCUAUUUUUUUUUUUCGUCUUUUCACGUUCUCUUUGUUGUACUUGCUUCCGUGCCAGCGUUUUUUCGCUCUUCUUUUCUUGUGUGCGUUCCCUGAUGCCUGCGUGUGUGUGCGGGUUUCGGCGGUGAAUGGCUAAGUACGCGCCAAAAAAGUAGAUCCUGGCGCUGCAACCUCACUGAUCGAUGAAGGAAAAAAAAGAGCAGCGGCUGAGUGGCUUUAACUGUACGUCAUGUCGUGUCGUGCCGCAUCUCCGGCCUCGUUCGUAUUUUUUUUUGUUAUUCGCUCUGCUCAUCUCGUUUAGAAGAUAUGAAGCGCUUCACAUGAGUCUCCCGCUUUUACAGCUCUUUUUGGCCGAAUCAAGUCUCUCUCUGUAGGACUGUGUGUGUGUGCGCGCGUGAUCGCUGCUGAGAAGUGCCUUCAGCGCUUGGUUCUCUGCGGGCGCUGUUCACAUGUUUUGCACGUGUGCGGCUGUCUUCCCGCCUUUUCCCGGGCCUUCCGUGUGGCUUACGCGGAUGGAGGGAAACUGCGUCGUUGUUUCGCUCCUGGGUUAAUUUGGUUCGUCCCUCACCACCUCAUCUCACUCCAGCCCUGUGUGUUUUUGCGUCAACUGCUUUCUCGCUCUUGCCGCGAGAGGCGCGAUGAACACCGAAUUCUCACGAAAGCGUCGUCACGCUUCUCUUUUUGGUUGCUUCUUCUUUUGCAUGGCCUGACUCCCUUUUUAUCUGUAUCACUCGUUUUGGUGUGAUGCACACUGCGCGCAAAUUCAAACAUCCUCCUGUCGCCGUCUCACACGGUUCCUUGGGGGUAAGGAGGGAGGGGGUCCUCACAAGGAGGCUAGCGAGGCCUCGAUGUAAGCGCGUGCUUUUGUGUGGUCUGUAUCUCCCUAUAUAUAUAUAUAUAUGAGUGUGUUUGAGUAUGGCAAAGAAGAGGAAGGUUCUGGCUGGUCUGAGUGUGGCUCACACAUUCCUCCUCCACUGGUUUUCGUGUGGCUGUACGCAUUCCAGCUGCCAAAGGCGAGAGAAAAGGCCUGAGAAGAAAAGAGGGAGAUGUGUGUAUUUGUGUGUGUGUGUGUUUGGCUUUCUUUGGUUCUGGGUGGAUGGGCCUGCAACGCAGAGGGUGGACGUCUCCUUCUUUUUUUUCUGUGAGUUGGAGGAUCCCUCUUUCAUUUCCUUGCCGGCACAUACGCGCAGUCCUUCCACGGCAUCCGCCUUGUUCCUUCCUCCCUCUGCGCCUCUGCCCAUUAUGGGGCGACGUUUCAUCUCCCCGGCUGCCUUACACCGCUCACACCCUGAG
rnacentral:misc_RNA from 1 species